rnacentral:tRNA from 1 species
UGUGUGGCGGAAUUGGUAGACGCGCUGGACUCAAAAUCCAGUGGUAGCAAUAUCGUGUGGGUUCGAGUCCCACCACA